rnacentral:rRNA from 1 species
GUACCUACGGGACGCAGCAGUAGGGAAUUUUCGUCAAUGGGCGCAAGCCUGAACGAGCAAUGCCGCGUGAACGAGGAAGGUCUUCGGAUCGUAAAGUUCUGUUGAAGGGGAAAAAGAGCGGAGAGAGGAAAUGCUUUCUGAUUGAUAUUACCCUUCGAGGAAGUCACGGCUAACUACGUGCCAGCAGCCACGGCAAUACGUAGGUGGCGAGCGUUAUCCGGAAUGAUUGGGCGUAAAGGGUGCGUAGGCGGCCUGCUAAGUCUGGAGUGAAAGGUACCGGCUCAACCGGUACAGGCUCUGGAAAC